rnacentral:lncRNA from 1 species
AAUUCCUCUUUUCCCUUCCCUUCUCUAUUUCUUCAUCUCUCUCUUUCAAUGAUUAUUCUUCUUCUCUCUCUCUUCCCCGUUUCACUUCUUCCUCCACCUCUGCUUCUCUUCCUUCCAUUGUUACUCUUCUCAUGGACUAUGUUGGCCUCUCAAUGGAAUCAGCCAUGAAUGCAUCUUCGUGUCUUCUCCACCUUAAAACCACUGAAAAACCCCUCUCUGUAAUAAACUUCCUAAAAAACUCUGAUUUCAGUGAUACCCAUAUCCAAACUAUCAUCUGUAAACGUCCCCAGCUUCUUAAAGCCAAUGUGGAGAAAACCCUCAAACCCAAAUUCAGAGCGUUCCAUGAUUUGGGUCUUUUGGGGUGCGAUCUCGGACACAUCAUCUCUGCAGAUCCAGUCAUUCUUACAAAGAGCACUGAGAAACAAAUUCUCCCAAAAAUUGAGUUCCUCAAGAACUAUUUGCACACCAAUGAGAAGGUUGUGAGAGCUCUCAAGAAAUCUAGUUGGAUUCUGAUAUUUGAUAUUCAGAAGAGACUAGUACCCAACAUAAGGUUAUUGGAGAGCUAUGGAGUUGACGACUCACAGUUACAUAAAUUUCUUUUAAGACAGCCCAGAUUCUUUACUAUAGAACCAAAACGAAUUAAGGAAAUUGCAGAGAGGGUGAAGGAAAUGGGUUUCGACCCUAAUUCGAGGUUGUUUUCUCAUGCGAUUUUUGCAAUGAGUUGUCUGAGCAGGGAGACAUGGCAGGGCAAAGUUGAGUUGUGUAAGAAUUUUGGGUGGUCCGAAGAGGAUGUUAUGUGUGCAUUUCGAAGGUUUCCAUAUUUAUUCACGUUGUCUGAGAAGAAAUUGAAGAUGGGUAUGGAUUAUUUCAUUAAUGUAUUAAAAUUAGACAAGUUUUAUCUUGUUUCGCAUCCUGUGCUUUUCUCCCAUAGUUUAGAGGGAAGGGUUAUCCCCAGGCACCGAGUCUUGCAAGCUUUGAGAUCGAAGAAUUUGCUCAAGAAGGAUGUCGAAUUCACGUCGUUUUGCAAAAGAGCAGAAAAUGUAUUUUUGCAAAGAUAUGUGUUGAGUUUUGAGAAUGAGGCUGAAUACUUGUUGGGGGUUUAUAAGGGGAUCACUGAAAAUUGAGGGCUUCUUUGGCUUUGUUAAUAUCAUGGUUUUGCCACAGCAUUCUUCACCAUCAAAGAUGGAAACGAAUAUUUCAAAAGUAAAAGAUCAGUCCACAUUAAUGGUGAAUUGGGGGCCUUGGUCUUAAAGAUUAAAAGAAUGGGGAGCUUAGUCUUGCAAAAGGUGCUUAGAAGAUAGUUUUUAGCUCAAUUUUGGUGCAUUAUAUGCAUACAUAGGUGGCAAAUAGCUAAGGAUCUUUCACAUUGAGGCCCUUUCAUCUGAUGCACAUGAUGAAGAAGAGUGCUUUGGCCCUGCUUGCCUUCUCCUUGGCACUGGGGCAUUUCGAUACCGAAAUUUUGCAUGCUGGGAAAAUGGCGGAAAAACACUCAAAAGCUUGCCUUCUUUUUUUUUGUUUUUUUUUCAGCUUUUUUGUUGUGGGUGGGGUUGGGGCGCUUUGCUUUUUCGUUAUACUAUUGUACUUUGAAGCCCAAAUUCGUUUACAGUAGGAUUUUUUGCUCUUUCUGCUUACCCUGGGAAAUAGAGGGUGACUCUCAUUAAGUGAGCUAGAUGAGACUCGAACCAUAUGGUGGUUUGCGAGUAUAUUACUAUAGUGUUAGGAUGUGUUUCCCUCAACCCAUCAUCCUUUCCCGCGACUUUUUGUGGCCACCGAAACGGUGGUCUCUGGAUAAAGGAAGGGCAUCUCAUGUUACUAUCGUUUUAGGUGAGUAACUUCUUUUUGUCUCGGUUGCUUUGUAAUCUGAUUUACUUUACUUGUUUAGUUUUAGGUGAGUAACUUCUAUUUGUCUCGGUUGCUUUGUAAUCUUAUUUACUUUACUUGUUUACGUUGUCUGAUUAUUUCAGUGUUUUCUGCUGUGUUUUAUUUAAUGGAAUCUUAUCAUCAAUCAAGUAAAAGAAAAAAGGAGGUUUUGCCUUUUAUAAUAGUAAAUCAGGUUUUAGGACACUUUUAUGGAUAAGAGUAUGUAAAAUAUGAAAUCCACGGCCAGGUCGGAUUAAGCUGUUGGGUUGGGGUUGAGAUCAUGAUUGCAUGAGAACAUCCUCUACAUGGAAAUCUUGGUGCAUUUUCUACAGAGAUGAGGACAUUUUCUUGUGGUUUCUGGGUGGGGUAUUGUAUAUCCGAAUUAUGACUACUACCUUCUUUCUGAACCCUUGAACAUUUUCUUUUGUUUUCUUUUGGGGACAAUUUCUUGUGGUUUCUGCAGAGGGAUUGUACCUCUGUAUUAUGACCUCCACCUUUUUUCAAAGCUGCAUAGGAAAGUUACAACAGUUGCACCCCAUUUCUUCAUCAUCUAACCACACUGAUCAGUGAAAUUUUUCAUGGAGCAGCUUUAUAAACAGUUCUGAGUAAAUACAGCUUCAAAAAAACAGUACUUAUAGCCCAUCUUUAAGUAGCCACACCUGUGAUGAAAGUUCCUCUAUUUGUAGGGAGAGUUCAGUUACCACUUUUCGGAACCUAAUUUCUAGUAUUGAGAACUAGUGAUAAACUACAGGAAUUCAAGAAACUAUAAUUGUUGAUUAUGCUUCAUGUACCAUAAUAAACUGAGUCAGGCAUGUAAUAAACUGAGAACCUAAGAAUCAAUGUUUGAAACUUGGCAAUCUGGAUCUGGAAUUGGCAAUCCUGAUUGGUUUCAAUGGGUGGUCAAUCAGGGUCCCCUCCCCCAAAAUGGCCCCAAUUUUAUUUUUCAUUAGUUUAAACUGGUUUGACAAUUUGGAUUGAUCGGCCUAUCCAGAUCGGUGGAUGAUCCAAAACACUAUGCUGCAUUUUGAAGGUUAUGUUACAUGGAUUAUGGGUGAUCCAAAACACAAUUCCUCUUUUCCCUUCUCAUGGAUUAUGUUGCACGUGCAUUUCGAAGGUUUCCAAAUUUGUUUUUGUCAAAGAAGUUGCAGAGGGUCAUGGAAUAUUUCACUAACGAAAUUAAGUUUGGUAAGCUCAUAUUUCACUAAGAAAAUUAUGUUUUACAAGACCAUUUGAUGUGUAAUCCUCGACCUUUUGGGAUUAGUUUGGAGGGAAGGGUGAUCUUUAGGCACAGACACCACAACCUUUGAGAUCCAAAAAUUGGUCAAAGGGAUGCAGCUAUGGUAUCAGUUUGCAAACAAAUAGAAGAUGUUUUUGCAGAAGUUUGCGUACGAUUUUGGGAAUUUACAGGGGAAUUUGCGAAAAGAUGAGAGAAAGUAGACUUAGAUGGGCUGGUCUUGUGUGGCUCAAACCUAAUACAAUACCGAUUAGGAGGUGUAAGUUAAUUCAAGUGGAAAGUUUAAAAAGGGCAAGGAUAGGCCCAAAAGGAUAUGGUUGGAGGUAGUGAGAAGAUAUGUGGACUUAUGAGCUCACUAAAGGUAUGGUCUUUAAUAGAGCCUAAUGACGAACCAGGAUUCGUAUAGUCGAUCUUAAGUAGUUGGAAAAAAGCUUUGACGAUAAUGAUAGGGAAAUCCCCAAAAUAUUGGAUGGGUCUUAACUUUCAAAAUUUGAGAUCCAUUCUUGUUUCCAUUGCUCUAAACUUUCUAAUGUUUCCUUCUUCCUUCUAGCUAGUUCUAAUGGGGCUUUGUAUUUCUUCCACUCAAUGAAUGACUUCUAUUACUUUGUAUGUAAGACUAAUUGAUAUGUUAUGUUGAAUGGGUUUUGUGGGUUAGGUCCGGGUCCAUUGCCACCCCUGAUUUAAAAUGACAUGCAGAAUGGCUUCAUUUUUCCAGUUGUUUUUUAAGACAAGGAGAGAAGAUCAUUUGGGGUUUAUGAUUUGAUAACACCAUGGGAAUAGACGUGCUCCAUCUCAUGUCCGGGCGGCGCCUCUUAGAUUGGUGCAUUGCGAUUAUGCUUUGGAGGUCUCUUGCUUGAAGCCUGAAUAUCCAAAAUUCCUAAUUUGCUCUUGGUGGAUUUUGAUGGUUGAUAUCAAGAAGAGAUUACUGCUCAAUAUAAGGUUAAUAAUGAAUGCACUCGAAGAAAUCCGGUGUGAUGGGAAUGAAGUUAUUGUUUCGUGGUGUAUCAUUUCUAUUUAUUGUUAAUGGAAGGUUGUUAUCUAUUGGGAAAAUAAAGAGAUUCAUCAUUAUCAUCAUCGGAGCCUCAUCUCAACUAUUUAGGAGAAUCUUGUUUCGCUAUUCCGCUCUAUCAAAAAUCAUAUCUUCAUUGAGAUUAUAAGUUACCAUUUCUCUUUUCAUUAUUUUAAUCUAUGCAUUUUCAUUGCCUUUUUAGAGUCUUCCUCUUGAAUCAAAUCGCUCCUUCUAACUGGUGUUAAGUUAGAUCGACGCUAUACAUAGCCAAACUAUUAAGUCUAUUUUUCCUCUUCUUAUUACAUAUUGGAGCCACAGCUGAAUUUUCUUGGAUCUUAUUGCACACUGUGUUUUGUACUCUUGUGGAAUAUGUCCCCUUCCUUAGCAAAUUUCCAACCAGUUCAAAUACUAUAGAUUCACGAAAUCUUCCAUUUCUCAUGGAAUGCGCCUAAAUUUACGAGUUGAGAGAGUUUCAAGUCUAGAAAGCUUAUGGUCUAGUGAAGUCUAGAGGGGUACCAUGCUCCCAAAUUAUAGCCCCUGCCUGUUGGUUGAAUCUUGAAUAUCAUUUAGUGCUUCAUGGUUGUGUUGUCUCUUCUGAUAAGUUGUGCUCCAUGGUUUUGCUGGCCUUGAGUGUUCGUAAAACCGGCCGGUUAGAUCUGAACCGUUAGGGUUCGGACUCCGGUUAAAGCUGGUUUUGGUGUUCUAACUUGUAUAUGAAAUACCCCAAAAAAUAUCCUGUCCAAAAUUCGUCGAUAUCUAGUCGAACAGGCCAUUUUUAUAUUAAACCUACCGGUUGUUUGGCAAACCGGAUCGGUUAGUUUAAAAAAUGGUUUGUAACAUAAUAUAAUGGAGAAAUAACGUAUAAUGUCUGUUAUUUUUUAUAGGGGUUUUAUUUGAUGCAGAAGUCACAUGUUUCUCUUGAUUGAACAUUUGAUUCCAUUUUCCAUGCAUUUUCAGCCUUAUACAAACGUUUGUAGCUAAUAAUUGAUCGAAAUUUUUUCUUUUCGCCUAUAAAUCAAUCAAUUUGAGAUCAAAAUGGCAUCGAAAUUCCACUUUCUUGGCUGUCAUUUGGGUAUGCUUCAAAGUUUUGCGAGAAAUCUGCCAAUCUAAAGAUUUUGGCCUCUUUUUUUAAUUUUUCUACAUCAAAAAGGAGGGAUUUUGUUGAUGACAGACAUAUCAGCACUACUACACUCCUUAUUUGAUCGAAAUCUAGAUAUUUCGAGCUCGAUUUGAGAAUAGGACUUCGGUUAGAAGAAAACAAUGCAAGUUUUAUCCUGAAUUUUUUUUACUUUUUGUCCUACUUUUUCUCCCUCUUUUAGUAUUUUUCAGACAAUAUUUUACUAAAGUUAUUGAUUGCAUCCAAUAAAUAAACAUAUUUGAGGAUAAAUACUCAACGAAAAUCUAUUUUUUUUGUCUUUUUUUUUUUGUGUUCUUCAAUGUUUCAGCAAAAAUCCGACAAACUACAGAUUGUGGCAUUGUUUUUUUAUCGUUUCUCGAUCAAAAUAGGGGGCUUUUGUGGAUGACAGAGAUGUUCAGAUUAUUGAACUCCUAAUUUCAUCGAAAAUCAGAUAUUUGGGGCUCGAUUUUAGGGGUUUUUGAUAAAUUGGUUUUUUUUUAAAAAAAUUAUUUCGCAUAUAAAACUAUGCUUUAUGAUGAAUAUGAGAAGUGUUUUUCUAUUUUGUUUAAUAAAAUUAUGUUUUUUGAUAAAAUUACAUUUUUUGAUAAAAAAAAUAUUUUUGGAUGAAUAUGACAAAAAAUAGAUUCUUCUAUUUUUAAUGUACAAAAAAAAGUGUAUGAUAAUGCUGCUCGAUUUUUUUUUGCUCGAUAUUUUUAAUGUUACAGUGCACGAUAAUGUUGCUUGAUCUUUUCCUUCAAUUUUUUUUUGCUCGAUAGUUUUAAUGUUAUAUUGCUUUUGCUUCAUUUUUUUUUCUCAAUUUUUUGCAUGAUAUGUUUUUUUUUAUAUUUUUCUUAAGUGCAAGAUAUUACCAAAAAUAUGCAUGCUGACAGAGGGAUGGUAAAUGAACUAAGACUAUGUGAUGCUCCAGAUCUCUAAGAUGUCUUCAAGAUGUCAAUAUUAUGAAAGGUUGCAAUAACAUAAAAGUCUUUUUUGAUCUUUACUUGGAACCUCCCCUCUCUUUCUCUAAUUGUAUACCCAUACUCUUAUAUUAAAUUAGUACGUAUUGUAAAACUUGAAACUGGAGUGUGUAAACAUAUAUGUAUGUGUACUUAUAUUUAUCAGUAAUAAGCAUGGGAGUUUUUAAGUUUGAAAGUUAAAGUUAAAACUUUUGACCUUUUUCAAAAUUUUCAUUGAGUGAACCCUGAUAACUAGACACAACAGUACCUUUGCGCCCCUAGCUACUCUUUUUACUACCAACAUUAUUAAUUAGACUUUGUAAGUCCAUCAAUUGAAUUGAUCUUAAAUUAUAAAUUGUUUUACAUAUCUCCAUAAUAUUCAUAUAUUAAUUUAUAUAAAUGCAGUAAACCUUCCGAGCACUUGACAACUAUAAUAAACAGUAAUAUAGGUAAAAUUUCAGUCGUCAAAUGUUUAUCGAGUAGUCCAAAAUACAUAACACUAUUUUAAUUUUAAUUUUUUCUAUAAAUCUGAUUAAAAUGAAAUUUUGAGUGUAUAUACCUAACCUUAUUGCGCACCGUAUAAAAAUAUAAAAACAUUACUUGCAGUAAUUUAAAAUUACAAAUUUACCUCCAUUAUUUUCAAGGAUAUUUCAUCAUUUUAUAUUUAAAAAAUAUUUUUUAUAUAUUUUUUAAUUGUGCUUCUAUUUUUUAGUACACACAUAUAAAAUUUCAUUAUAAUUUGAUUUCUAAAAAAAAUAUUAAAAAUCAUAUAGUGAUAUGUAUUUUUAGCCAUAUGAUGAAGAUAUGACGGUUGAGAUUCCACCUAUAUUACUAUUCAUUAUAGCUCUUGGUGUUCGUUAGCUUUUCCCAUAUAAAUGAGUAAAUAUAUUUUAAAAAUUAAAAAUAAUAAGAAAACUUCUGAACAGUUAGUUUCAAUUAUUUUUAGAUAAACCACCUAUUAACUGGAUGCUUUAUACUUUGGGGACCACAAAUGUAGAAAUGCGGUCCGGCCAAAUGAAGCAAUUUUCCAUAAAUGCUCCCAAGCGGCUAUUUUCUCUGAUGGAGUUCUUUUCCAGAGUGCUCCCGCAGGAACAUGCUCUACGGACUGCAUUUUACUCCUUUUCUAGGGUUCGAGCGUAGACGAGCAAAGGAGAGAGAGACGGAGAUUUGUGUACCUGUUGGGUUUAGAGAGAGAGUGCGCAUUUUGGAGAGAGAGAGAGAGAGGGAGGGAAAAAUAGCAUUUAUGUUUGUUGGGAUUACACAGGCCUGCUGUUUUGCUCUCUUUUUGAAUGUUUUGGGAUUUUUUCCCCUCACAAAGUAUCAGCUUUUAAAACCCAUUUUCUCUAUUUGGAGGUUUCUGAUUAUUUUGCAGAAGAUGAAGCAGCUGGAUCCACCAUUCUAAGUAAAAGAGGUAUUUUUGCUCUCCUCUUUACAUUACCCUGCCUGGUUUUUCUUUUGUUCUUUAUGUACCCAUUGUUGGUUGAAUAAUGAUGCUCCCAACCCUCAGAAAAAGCUUGGCUUUGGCAAAACCCCAUUCUCUCUAUAUGCCUCAAUUCCUCUUUUCCCUUCCCUUCUCUCUUUCUUCAUCUCGCUCUUUCAAUGAUUCUUCUUCUUCUCUCUCUUUUCCCCCUUUCACUUCUUCCUCCACCUCUGCUUCUCUUCCUUCCAUUGUUACUCUUCUCAUGGACUAUGUUGGCCUCUCAAUGGAAUCAGCCAUGAAUGCAUCUUCGUGUCUUCUCCACCUUAAAACCACUGAAAAACCCCUCUCUGUAAUAAACUUCCUAAAAAACUCUGAUUUCAGUGAUACCCAUAUCCAAACUAUCAUCUGUAAACGUCCCCAGCUUCUUAAAGCCAAUGUGGAGAAAACCCUCAAACCCAAAUUCAGAGCGUUCCAUGAUUUGGGUCUUUUGGGGUGCGAUCUCGGACACAUCAUCUCUGCAAAUCCAGUCAUUCUCACAAAGAGUACUGAGAAACAAAUUCUCCCAAAAAUUGAGUGCCUCAAGAACUAUUUGCACACCAAUGAGAAGGUUGUAAGAGCUCUCAAAAGAUCUAGUUGGAUUCUGAUAUUUGAUAUGGAGAAGAGACUAGUACCCAACAUAAGGUUAUUGGAGAGCUAUGGAGUUGAGGACUCACAGUUACAUAAAUUUCUUUUAAGACAGCCCAGAUUCUUUACUAUAGAACCAAAACGAAUUAAGGAAAUUGCAGAGAGGGUGAAGGAAAUGGGUUUCAACCCUAAUUCGAGGUUGUUUUCUCAUGCGAUUUUGGCAAUGAGUAGUCUGAGCAGGGAGACAUGGCAGGGCAAAGUUGAGUUGUGUAAGAAUUUUGGGUGGUCCGAAGAGGAUGUUAUGUGUGCAUUUCGAAGGUUUCCAUAUUUAUUCUCUUUGUCUGAGAAGAAAUUGACGAUGGGUAUGGAUUAUUUCAUUAAUGUAUUAAAAUUGGACAAGUUUUAUCUUGUUUCGCAUCCUGUGCUUUUCUCCCUUAGUUUAGAGGGAAGGGUUAUCCCCAGGCACCGAGUCUUGCAAGCUUUGAGAUCGAAGAAUUUGCUCAAGAAGGAUGUCGAAUUCACGUCGUUUUGCAUAAGAGCAGAAAAUGUAUUUUUGCAAAGAUAUGUGUUGAGUUUUGGGAAUGAGGCUGAAUACUUGUUGAGGGUUUAUAAGGGGAUCACUUAAAAUUGAGGGCUUCUAUGUGGUUUUGCCACAGCAUUCUUCACCAUCAAAGUUGGAAACGAAUAUUUCAAAAGUAAAAGAUCAGUCCACAUUAAUGGUGAAUUGGGGGCCUUGGUCUUAAAGAUUAGAAGAAUGGGGAGCUUAGUCUUGCAAAAGGUGCUUAGAAGAUAGUUUUUAGCUCAAUUUUGGUGCAUUAUAUGCAUACAUAGGUGGCAAAUAGCUAAGGAUCUUUCACAUUGAGGCCCUUUCAUCUGAUGCCCAUGAUGAAGAAGAGUGCUUUGGCCCUGCUUGCCUUCUCCUUGGCAUUGGGGCAUUUCGAUACCGAAAUUUUGCAUGCUGGGAAAAUGGUGGAAAAACACUCAAAAGCUUGCCUUCUUUUUUUUUGUUUUUUUUCCAGCUUUUUUGUUGUGGGUGGGGUUGGGGCGCUUUGCUUUUUCAUCAUGCUAUUUUACUUUGAAGCGCAAUUUCGUUUACAGUAGGAUUUUUUGCUCUUUCUCCUUACCCUGGGAAAUAGAGGGUGACUCUCAUUAUGUGAGCUAGGUGAGACUCGAACCAUAUGGUGGUUUGCGAGUAUAUUACUAUAGUUUUAGGAUGUGUUUCCCUCAACCCAUCAUCUUUUCCCGCCACUUUUUGUGGCCACCGAAGCGGUGGUCUCUGGAUAAAGGAAGGGCAUCUCAGGUUACUAUCAAUUUAGGUGACUAACUUCUAUUUGUCUCGGUUUACUUUACUUGUUUACAUUGUCUGAUUAUUUCAGUGUUUUCUGCUGUGUUUUAUUGAAUGGAAUCUUUUCAUCAAUCAUGUAAAAGAAAAACGGAGGUUUUGCCUUUUAUAAUAGUAAAUCAGGUUUUAGGACACUUUUAUGGAUAAGAGUAUGUAAAAUAUGAAAUCCACGGCCAGGUCGGAUUAAGCUGUUGGGUUGGGGUUGAGAUCAUGAUUGCAUGAGAACAUCCUCUACAUGGAAAUGUUGGUGCAUUUUCUACAGAGAUGAGGACAUUUUCUUGUUGUUUCUGGGUGGGGUAUUGUAUCUCCGAAUUAUGACUACUGCCUUCUUUCUUAACCCUUGGAACAUUUUCUUUUGUUUUCUUUUGGGGACAAUUUGUUGUGGUUUCUGCAGAGGGAUUGUACCUCUGUAUUAUGACCACCACUUUUUUUUCAAAGCUGCAAAGGAAAGUUACAACAGUUGCACCCCAUUUCUUCAUCAUCUAACCACACAGAUCAGUGAAAUUUUUCAUGGAGCAGCUUUAUAAACAGUUCUGAGUAAAUACAGCUUCAAAAAAACAGUACUUAUAGCCCAUCUUUAAGUAGCCACACCUGUGAUGAAAGUUCCUCUAUUUAUAGGGAGAGUUCAGUGUAUGCUGGUUCUUACCACUUUUCACAACCUAAUUGCUAGUAUUGAGAACUAAUGAUAAACUACAGGAAUUCAAGAAACUAUAAUUGUUGAUUAUGCUUCAUGUACCAUAAUAAACUGAGUCAGGCAUGUAAUAAACUGAGAACAUAAGAAUCAAUGUUUGAAACUUGGCAUUCUGGAUCUGGAAUUGCCAAUCCUGAUUGGUUUCAAUGGGUGGUCAAUCAGGGUCCCCUCCCCCAAAAUGGCCCCAAUUUUAUUUUUCAUUAGUUUAAACUGGUUUGACAAUUUGGAUUGAUCGGCCUAUCCAGAUCAGUGGGUGAUCCAAAACACUAUGCUGCAUUUUGAAGGUUAUGUUACAUGGAUUAUGGGUGAUCCAAAACACAAUUCCUCUUUUUCCUUCUCAUGGAUUAUGUUGCAUGCGCAUUUCGAAGGUUUCCAAAUUUGUUUUUUUCAAAGAAGAAGUUGCAGGGGGUCAUGGAAUAUUUCACUAACGAAAUUAAGUUUGGUAAGCUCAUAUUGCACUAAGAAAAUUAAGUUUGGCAAGAACCAUUUGAUGUGUAAUCCUCGACGUUUUCGGAUUAGUUUGGAGGGAAGGGUGAUCUCUAGGCACAUACACCACAACCUUUGAGAUCUAAAAAUUGCUCAAAGGGAUGCAGAUAUGGUAUCUGUUUGCAAACAAAUAAAAAAGAUGUUUUUGCAGAAGUUUGCGUAAAAUUUUGGGAAUUUACAAGGGAAUCCCCAAAAAGAUAGAGAGAGUAGAUUUAGAUGGGCUGGUUAUGUGUGGCUCAAACUUAGUACAACACCGAUUAGGAGGUGCAAGUUAGUUCAAGUGGAAAGUUUAAAAAGGGCAAAUGUAGGCCCAAAUAAAGCAUAAUGACGGACUAAGAUUCGUGUGAUCGAUCUUAUUUAGUUGGGAAAAAGCUUCGACGAUGAUGAUAGGGGAAUCGAAAAAGCUUUGACGAUGAUGAUAGGGGAAUCCCCAAAAAAUUGGAUGGGUCUUAACUUUCAAAUUCGAGAUGCAUUCUUGUUUCCAUUGCUCUUAAGUUUUCUAGUGUUUCCUUCUUCCUUCUAUUUGGUUCUAAUGGGGCUUUGUAUUUCUUCCACUCAAUGAAUGACUUCUAUUACUUUGUAUGUAAGACUAACUGUUAUAUUAUGUUGAAUGGGUUUUGUGGCUCAUUGGUGAAGAUAGAUGCCAAAUUUUGUUCAACUCUUGACUCGUGAAUGGAAAUAAUAGGCUAGAGGCUUAAAACAACUCUAAUUGUAAGUAGUGCAGCUGAUGAGAACGGUCUAUUGAGAUUGUUUUGGGCAAGAAAGAGAAUUAUGGCUCAUUGGGCAUAGGGGUGGCAACGGGUCUGGUCUGGACAGAUCCAAACCCAAACACUAUUUGGAUCCAGACCCAACGCGCCUGGUCCAAUUUUUGGACCUUGAUCGGGUCUACCCCUAGAGUCCUGGGUCAGGUUCGGGUCCAUUGCCACCCCUGAUUGGAAAUGAGAUGCAGAAUGGCUUCAUUUUUCCAGUUGUUUUGAAGACAAGGAAAGAAUAUCAUUUGGGGUUUAUGAUUUGAUAACACCAUGGGAUUAGACGUGCUCCAUCUCAUGUCCGGGCGGCGCCUCUUAGAUUGGUGCAUUGCGAUGAUGCUUUGGAGGUCUCUUGCUUGAAGCCUGAAUAUCCAAAAUUCCUAAUUUGCUCUUGGUGGAUUUUGAUGGUUGAUAUCAAGAAGAGAUUACUGCUCAAUAUAAGGUUAAUAAUGAAUGCACUCGAAGAAAUCCGGUGUGAUGGAAAUGAAGUUAUUGUUUCGUGGUGUAUCAUUUCUAUUUAUUGUUAAUGGAAGGUUGUUAUCCAUUGGGAAAAUGAAGAGAUUCAUCAUUAUCAUCAUCGGAGUCUCAUCUCAACUAUUUAGGAGAAUUUUGUUUCGCUAUUCCGCUCUAUCAAAAAUCAUUUCUUCAUUGACACUAUGAGUUAUCAUUUCUCUUUUCAUUAUUUUAAUCUAUGCAUUCUCAUUACCCUUUUAGCGUCUUGCUCUUGAAUCAAAUCGCUCCUCUUAACUGGUACUAAGUUAAAUCGACGUUAUACAUAGCCAAACUAUUAAGUCUCUUUUUCCUCUUCUUAUUACAUAUUGGAGCCACAGCUGAAUUUUCUUAGAUCUUAUUGCACACUGUGUUUUGCACCCUUGUGGAAAAUGUCCCCAUAGCAAAUUUCCAACUGGUUCAAAUACUGGAUUCACGAAAUCUUCCAUUUCUCAUGGAAUGCGCCCAAAUUUACGAGUUGAGAGAGUUUCAAGUCUAGAAAGCUUAUGGUCUAGUGAAGUCUAGAGGGGUACCAUGCUCCCAAAUUAUAGCCCCUGCCUGUUGGUUGAAUCUUGAAUAUCAUUUAGUGCUUCACGGUUGUGUUGUCUCUUCUGAUCAGUUGUGCUCCAUGGUUUUGCUGGCCCUGAGUGUUCGUAAAUCCGGCCGGUUAGAUCGGAACCGUUAGGGUUCCGACUCCGGUUAAGGCUGGUUUUGGUGUUCUAACUUGUAUAUGAAAUACCCCAAAAAAUAUCCUGUCCAAAACCCGCCGUUAUCCAGUCGAACCGGCCAUUUUUAUAUUAAACCUACUAGUUUUUUGGCAAACCGGAUCGGUUAGUUUAAAAAAUGGAUUGUAACAUAAUAUAAUGGAAAAAUAACAUAUAACGUCUGUUAUUUUUUAUAGGGGUCUUUAUUUGAUGCAGAAGUCACAUGUUUCUCUUGAUUGAACAUUUGAUUCCAUUUUCCCUGCAUUUUCAGCCUUAUACAAACGUUUGUAGCUAAUAAUCGGUCGAAAUUUUUGCUUUUCGCCUAUAAAUCAAUCAAUUUGAGAUCAAAAUGGCAUCGAAAUUCCACUUUCUUGGCUAUUAUUUGGGUACGCUUCAAAGUUUCACGAGAAUUCCGCCAAUCUAAAGAUUUUGGCCUCUUUUUUUAAUUUUCCUACAUCAAAAUGGAGGGAUUUUGUUCAUGAACAGACAUAUCAGCACUACUACACUCCUUAUUUGAUCGAAAUCUAGGGAUUUUGAGCUCGAUUUGAGAUUAGGACUUCGGUUAGAAGAAAACAAUGUAAGCUUUAUCUUGAAUUUUUUUUAUUUUUUGUUCUACUUUUUCUUCCUCUUUUAGUAUUUUUCUGACAAUAUUUUAUUGAAGUUAUUGAUUGCAUCCAAUAAAAGAACAUAUUUGAGGAUAAAUACUCAACGAAAAUCAAUUUUUCUUGCCCAUUUUUUUUGUGUUCUUCAAUGUUUCGGGAAAAAUCCGACAAACUACAGAUUGUGGCGUUGUUUUUUUUAUUGUUUCUCGAUCAAAAUAGGAGGCUUUUGUGGAUGACAGAGAUGUUCAGACUAUUGAACUCCUAAUUUCAACGAAAGUCAGACAUUUGGGGCUCGAUUUUAGGGGUUUUUGAUAAAUUGGUUUUUCUAAAAAAAAUUUAUUUUGCAUAUAAAACUAUGCUUAUGAUGAUUAUGAGAAGUGUUUUUCUAUUUUGUUUAAUAAAAUUAUGUUUUUUUUAUAAAAUUACAUUUUUUGAUAAAAAAAAUAUAUUUUUGGAUGAAUAUGACAAAAAUAGAUUCUUCUAUUUUUAAUGUACAAAAAAAAGUGCAUGAUAAUGCUGCUCGAUUUUUUUUUGCUCGAUAUUUUUAAUGUUACAGUGCACGAUAAUGUUGCUUGAUAUUUUCCUUCAAUUUUUUUUGCUCGAUAUUUUUAAUGUUAUAUUGCUUUUGCUUCAUUUUUUUUUUUCUCAAUUUUUUGCAUGAUAUGUUUUUUUUUAUAUUUUUCUUAAGUGCAAGAUAUUACCAAAAAUAUGCAUGCUGACAGAGGGAUGGUAAAUGAACUAAGACUAUGUGAUGCUCCCGAUCUCUAAGAUGUCUUCAAGAUGUCAAUAUUAUGAAAGGUUGCAGUAACAUAAAAAUCUUUUUUGAUCUCUACUUGAAACCACUCUUCUCUCUUUCUAAUUGUAUACCCAUACUCUUAUAUUAAAUUAAUACGUAUUGUAAAACUUGAAACUGGAGUGUGUAAACAUAUACGUAUUGUAAAACUCGAAACUGGAGUGUGUAAACAUAUAUGUAUGUGUACUUAUAUUUAUCAGUAAUAAGCAUGGGAGUUUUUAAGUUUGAAAGUUAAAGUUAAAACUUUUGACCUUUUUCAAAAUUUUCAUUGAGUGAACCCUGAUAACUAGACACAACAGUACCUUUGCGCCCCUAGCUACUCUUUUUACUACCAACAUUAUUAAUUAGACUUUGUAAGUCCAUCAAUUGAAUUGAUCUUAAAUUAUAAAUUGUUUUACAUAUCUCCAUAAUGUUCAUAUAUUAAUUUAUAUAAAUGCAGUAAACCUUCCGAGCACUUGACAACUAUAAUAAACAGUAAUAUAGGUAAAAUUUCAGUCGUCAAAUGUUUAUCGAGUAGUCCAAAAUACAUAACACUAUUUUAAUUUUAAUUUUUUCUAUAAAUCUAAUUAAAAUGAAAUUUUGAGUGUAUAUACCUAACCUUAUUGCGCACCGUAUAAAAAUAUAAAAACAUUACUUGCAGUAAUUUAAAAUUACAAAUUUACCUCCAUUAUUUUCAAGGAUAUUUCAUCAUUUUAUAUUUAAAAAAUAUUUUUUAUAUAUUUUUUAAUUGUGCUUCUAUUUUUUAGUACACACAUAUAAAAUUUCAUUAUAAUUUGAUUUCUAAAAAAAAUAUUAAAAAUCAUAUAGUGAUAUGUAUUUUUAGCCAUAUGAUGAAGAUAUGACGGUUGAGAUUCCACCUAUAUUACUAUUCAUUAUAGCUCUUGGUGUUCGUUAGCUUUUCCCAUAUAAAUGAGUAAAUAUAUUUUAAAAAUUAAAAAUAAUAAGAAAACUUCUGAACAGUUAGUUUCAAUUAUUUUUAGAUAAACCACCUAUUAACUGGAUGCUUUAUACUUUGGGGACCACAAAUGUAGAAAUGCGGUCCGGCCAAAUGAAGCAAUUUUCCAUAAAUGCUCCCAAGCGGCUAUUUUCUCUGAUGGAGUUCUUUUCCAGAGUGCUCCCGCAGGAACAUGCUCUACGGACUGCAUUUUACUCCUUUUCUAGGGUUCGAGCGUAGACGAGCAAAGGAGAGAGAGACGGAGAUUUGUGUACCUGUUGGGUUUAGAGAGAGAGUGCGCAUUUUGGAGAGAGAGAGAGAGAGGGAGGGAAAAAUAGCAUUUAUGUUUGUUGGGAUUACACAGGCCUGCUGUUUUGCUCUCUUUUUGAAUGUUUUGGGAUUUUUUCCCCUCACAAAGUAUCAGCUUUUAAAACCCAUUUUCUCUAUUUGGAGGUUUCUGAUUAUUUUGCAGAAGAUGAAGCAGCUGGAUCCACCAUUCUAAGUAAAAGAGGUAUUUUUGCUCUCCUCUUUACAUUACCCUGCCUGGUUUUUCUUUUGUUCUUUAUGUACCCAUUGUUGGUUGAAUAAUGAUGCUCCCAACCCUCAGAAAAAGCUUGGCUUUGGCAAAACCCCAUUCUCUCUAUAUGCCUCAAUUCCUCUUUUCCCUUCCCUUCUCUCUUUCUUCAUCUCGCUCUUUCAAUGAUUCUUCUUCUUCUCUCUCUUUUCCCCCUUUCACUUCUUCCUCCACCUCUGCUUCUCUUCCUUCCAUUGUUACUCUUCUCAUGGACUAUGUUGGCCUCUCAAUGGAAUCAGCCAUGAAUGCAUCUUCGUGUCUUCUCCACCUUAAAACCACUGAAAAACCCCUCUCUGUAAUAAACUUCCUAAAAAACUCUGAUUUCAGUGAUACCCAUAUCCAAACUAUCAUCUGUAAACGUCCCCAG